rnacentral:rRNA from 1 species
UACCGAGGUCCCGAGCGUUGUUCGGAUUCACUGGGCGUAAAGGGUGCGCAGGUGGGUUUGCAAGUUCGAUGUGAAAGCCCCGGGCUCAACCUGGGAAUUGCGAUGGAGACUGCACGGCUAGAGUGUGUCAGAGGGGGGUAGAAUUCCACGUGUAGCAGUGAAAUGCGUAGAUAUGUGGAGGAACACCGAUGGCGAAGGCAGCCCCCUGGGAUAACACUGACGCUCAUGCACGAAAGCGUGGGGAGCAAACAGG